CGUCUUUGGUCCCUCCCUCCGCCACACACUCGAUUGUCUAACAGGAGGCUCUGGUGGGAGCUGAAGGCAGGGAGAACAGUCCUGUCCUUCAGCCUUUGUGCCCCUGGAGACGAAGUCCGAGACGAACACUGCCAUCUCGGGUAAAUGAAACGCUACCCGACUCAGAACCCCCUAAUGCCUUUGUGCAGCCUUUCGCUCUGCCCCCGUGCCUGAGGCGAUGUCCGCAGCCCACCCGACGGGAUUCUAAUAUACUCCACUGCAGAGAUUGCCUCUCAAGCAUUACUGCACAGGGCAGCAGGCUGGAAACCCUGUGAAAACUCGGGAUCGGAGCUGGAGAGAUGAUAAAGGUGACUGCGUCACAGACCUGCUGUCCUGAGUGAGAGCCACAGGGCCCACAGAAAACAUGGAUGUAAAGAACCAACUCCACAAAGUUGGCUUCCAUUGAAACAUAAUGUACCCUGGCAGUCCCAUCUACCCACAGGACUGAGGACCGCUCUUCCAUUUAUUAGCAGGGUUAACACCCUCACUAGGCUAUCUUACAGACUCUAGAAAUCUUUUCAGGAAUGAGUAUAAGCAAAACUCAAGCACCUUUAUGGAAAAUAUAAUACAGACUAUUCACUAAAUAAACUUUCUACCUUGACGGAGCA